AGAGUGAACGCUGGCGGCAUGCCUAACACAUGCAAGUCGAACGGUAACAGGCCCGCAAGGGUGCUGACGAGUGGCGGACGGGUGAGGAAUACAUCGGAAUCUGCCCGGUUGUGGGGGAUAACGUAGGGAAACUUACGCUAAUACCGCAUACGACCGAAAGGUGAAAGCGUGGGAUCCGCAAGGACCUCGCGCAGCCGGAUGAGCCGAUGUCGGAUUAGCUAGUUGGCGGGUAAAAGCCCACCAAGGCGACGAUCCGUAGCUGGUCUGAGAGGAUGAUCAGCCACACUGGGACUGAGACACGGCCCAGACUCCUACGGGAGGCAGCAGUGGGGAAUAUUGGACAAUGGGGGCAACCCUGAUCCAGCAAUGCCGCGUGUGUGAAGAAGGCCUUCGGGUUGUAAAGCACUUUCGACGGGGACGAUGAUGACGGUACCCGUAGAAGAAGCCCCGGCUAACUUCGCGCCAGCAGCCGC
rnacentral:rRNA from 1 species